rnacentral:rRNA from 1 species
ACCUUAUCAGAAAGCACCGGCAAACUAUGUGCCAGCAGCCGCGGUAAUACAUAGGGUGCAAGCGUUAUCCGGAAUUAUUGGGCGUAAAGCGUCUGUAGGCGGUUUAUUAAGUUUGAAGUUAAAGCCUGGGGCUCAACCCCAGCCCGCUUUGAAUACUGAUAAACUAGAGUUAUGGAGAGGUCAGUGGAACUCCUUGUGAAGCGGUGGAAUGCGUAGAUAUAAGGAAGAACACCAAUAGCGAAGGCAGCUGACUGGACAUUAACUGACGCUCAGAGACGAAAGUGUGGGUAGCAAACAGGAUUAGAUACCCUGGUAGUCCACACCGUAAACGAUGUUCGUUAGAUGGCGGAGUAUUUCGCUGUCGCAGCUAACGCAUUAAACGAACCGCCUGAGUAGUAUGCGCGCAAGCGUGAAACUUAAAUGAAUUGACGGGGACCCGCACAAGCGGUGGAGCAUGUGGUUUAAUUUGAAGAUACGCGGAGAACCUUACCCAGACUUGACAUCUUCCGCAAAGGCCUAGAAAUAGGUUGGAGGUUAACGGAAUGACAGAUGGUGCAUGGUUGUCGUCAGCUCGUGCCGUGAGGUGUUCGGUUAAGUCCGACAACGAGCGCAACCCCUAUCUUUAGUUGCUAACAUUAAGUUGAGGACUCUAGAGAGACUGCCUGGGUAACCAGGAGGAAGGUGGGGAUGACGUCAAAUCAUCAUGCCUCUUACGUCUGGGGCUACACACGUGCUACAAUGGCCAGUACAAAGGGAAGCAAACCUGCGAGGGUAAGCAAACCCCAAAAAACUGGUCUCAGUUCGGAUCGAAGUCUGCAACUCGACUUCGUGAAGUUGGAAUCGCUAGUAAUCGUAGGUCAGCAAUACUACGGUGAAUACGUUCUCGGGUCUUGUACACACCGCCCGUCACACCAUGGGAGUUGGUAAUGCCCGAAGCCGGAUAGUUAACUUCGGAGACUACUGUCUAAGGCAGGACUGAUGACUGGGGUGAAGUCGUAACAAGGUAUCCCUACGAGAACGUGGGGAUGGAUCACCU